UACGUAGGGGGCAAGCGUUGUCCGGAAUCAUUGGGCGUAAAGCGCGUGUAGGCGGUCCGGUAAGUCGGCUGUGAAAGUCCAGGGCUCAACCCUGGGAUGCCGGUCGAUACUGCCCGGACUAGAGUUCGGAAGAGGCGAGUGGAAUUCCCGGUGUAGCGGUGAAAUGCGCAGAUAUCGGGAGGAACACCAAUGGCGAAGGCAGCUCGCUGGGACGUUACUGACGCUGAGACGCGAAAGCGUGGGGAGCAAACAGG
rnacentral:rRNA from 1 species